AUGAAGGAGAUUCAUCUAAAGAAGAAUAAGAUGUUCAUCAAAGAAGAAGGAGAGGUAAUCUUGGAGCAAGACCGCCAUAACAAAAUGUUGUUCAAUGUGCUUCAAGAAGGCCAAUUUAUGUUGAAGUUUCUGAAGAUGAAGAAUAUGAUGAUGCCCUUGAAGAACCAAAUCUCUAAGCAUAUCGGAGAGCACCCAAUCCUACAUAUGCAAGAGAUACAUACAAGGAUGAAAGCUGAGAUCCCAAGUUUUAAUAUAAAUGUUGAUAUUGAAGGGUGCCUAGAUUGGUCAUAUCAAGUGGAGACUUUCUUUGAGGUUAUGGAGGUUCCGGAAGAUCGUAGAGUUCCUUUGGUCGCAUACAAGCUGAAAGGAGGAGCCGAUGCAUGGUGGCAUCGUGUUCAAGAAGAGCGCAGGCUGAGAGGAGAACCUCGUGUGAGAACUCAGAAGUGUCGUACGUUCGGUACUCGAUCGAUGGAGCGCGAAGAAAGCUCGACUACAUCAAUCGCGUUGUGA
rnacentral:rRNA from 1 species